rnacentral:rRNA from 1 species
CCCUUAGAUGUCCGGGGCCGCACGCGCGCUACACUGAAGGAAUCAGCGUGGCUUUCUCCCUGACCCGAAAGGGUUGGGAAACCCGUUGAAUCUCCUUCGUGAUAGGGAUUGGGGCUUGAAAUUGUUCCCCAUGAACGAGGAAUUCCCAGUAAGCGCGAGUCAUAAGCUCGCGUUGAUUACGUCCCUGCCCUUUGUACACACCGCCCGUCGCUCCUACCGAUUGAGUGUUCCGGUGAAUUAUUCGGACUGCAACAGUUAUCUGUCGCGGAAAGUCUUGUGAACCUUAACACUUAGAGGAAGGAAAAGUCGUAACA